CCUACGGGGGGCAGCAGUGGGGAAUAUUGGACAAUGGGGGGAACCCUGAUCCAGCCAUGCCGCGUGUGUGAAGAAGGCCCUCGGGUUGUAAAGCACUUUCAGUGAGGAAGAACGCCUGGUGGUUAAUACCCAUCAGGAAAGACAUCACUCACAGAAGAAGCACCGGCUAACUCCGUGCCAGCAGCCGCGGUAAUACGGAGGGUGCGAGCGUUAAUCGGAAUUACUGGGCGUAAAGCGCGCGUAGGUGGCUUGAUAAGCCGGUUGUGAAAGCCCCGGGCUCAACCUGGGAACGGCAUCCGGAACUGUCAAGCUAGAGUGCAGGAGAGGAAGGUGGAAUUCCCGGUGUAGCGGUGAAAUGCGUAGAGAUCGGGAGGAAUACCAGUGGCGAAGGCGGCCUUCUGGACUGACACUGACGCUGAGGUGCGAAAGCGUGGGUAGCAAACAGGAUUAGAUACCCUUGUAGUC
rnacentral:rRNA from 1 species